UUUAGAUUAUUUUAUUUUGCUAAUUAAUUUAUCUUGCAUGCUAUUCUACUUUGCAUAAUAGUGCAUGAAUAAUUCAAUAAGUUAUAGGUAGCAACAGUAGAGAAUAUAAUAGCUAUUGCAUAAUAAAAUUAAAUAAAUAGCUUCAAUAAAAUGAUCAUAAUGUAAUAUUGGAAAGAAAGACAAAAGAAAUGCGAAAAGGAAACAAAUGCGAACAUGAAUUCAAAUAACAUUAGUGAAUAAUCUAACUUAAAACUAAAUAACUAAGAAAAUAAUUUCUAUCCAUCUGCACGAUC
rnacentral:lncRNA from 1 species